rnacentral:rRNA from 1 species
UCGAACGGUAACAGGAAGCAGCUUGCUUGCUUCGCUGACGAGUGGCGGACGGGUGAGUAAUGUCUGGGAAACUGCCUGAUGGAGGGGGAUAACUACUGGAAACGGUAGCUAAUACCGCAUAACGUCGCAAGACCAAAGAGGGGGACCUUCGGGCCUCUUGCCAUCGGAUGUGCCCAGAUGGGAUUAGCUAGUAGGUGGGGUAACGGCUCACCUAGGCGACGAUCCCUAGCUGGUCUGAGAGGAUGACCAGCCACACUGGAACUGAGACACGGUCCAGACUCCUACGGGAGGCAGCAGUGGGGAAUAUUGCACAAUGGGCGCAAGCCUGAUGCAGCCAUGCCGCGUGUAUGAAGAAGGCCUUCGGGUUGUAAAGUACUUUCAGCGGGGAGGAAGGGAGUAAAGUUAAUACCUUUGCUCAUUGACGUUACCCGCAGAAGAAGCACCGGCUAACUCCGUGCCAGCAGCCGCGGUAAUACGGAGGGUGCAAGCGUUAAUCGGAAUUACUGGGCGUAAAGCGCACGCAGGCGGUUUGUUAAGUCAGAUGUGAAAUCCCCGGGCUCAACCUGGGAACUGCAUCUGAUACUGGCAAGCUUGAGUCUCGUAGAGGGGGGUAGAAUUCCAGGUGUAGCGGUGAAAUGCGUAGAGAUCUGGAGGAAUACCGGUGGCGAAGGCGGCCCCCUGGACGAAGACUGACGCUCAGGUGCGAUAGCGUGCGGAGCAUACAGGAUUAGAUACUCUGGUAGUCCACGCCGUACACGAUGUCGACUUGGAGGUUGUGCCCUUGAGGCGUGGCUUCCGGAGCUAACGCGUUAAGUCGACCGCCUGGGGAGUACGGCCGCUAGGUUAAAACUCAUAUGAAUUGACGGGGGCCC